rnacentral:rRNA from 1 species
UUAAGUAGACCGCCUGGGGAGUACGGCCGCAAGGUUAAAACUCAAAUGAAUUGACGGGGGCCCGCACAAGCGGUGGAGCAUGUGGUUUAAUUCGAUGCAACGCGAAGAACCUUACCUGGUCUUGACAUCCACAGAAGUUUGCAGAGAUGCGAAUGUGCCUUCGGGAACUGUGAGACAGGUGCUGCAUGGCUGUCGUCAGCUCGUGUUGUGAAAUGUUGGGUUAAGUCCCGCAACGAGCGCAACCCUUAUCCUUUGUUGCCAGCGGUUAGGCCGGGAACUCAAAGGAGACUGCCAGUGAUAAACUGGAGGAAGGUGGGGAUGACGUCAAGUCAUCAUGGCCCUUACGACCAGGGCUACACACGUGCUACAAUGGCGCAUACAAAGAGAAGCGACCUCGCGAGAGCAAGCGGACCUCAUAAAGUGCGUCGUAGUCCGGAUUGGAGUCUGCAACUCGACUCCAUGAAGUCGGAAUCGCUAGUAAUCGUGGAUCAGAAUGCCACGGUGAAUACGUUCCCGGGCCUUGUACACACCGCCCGUCACACCAUGGGAGUGGGUUGCAAAAGAAGUAGGUAGCUUAACCUUCGGGAGGGCGCUUACCACUUUGUGAUUCAUGACUGGGGUGAAGUCGUAACAAGGUAACCGUAGGGGAACCUGCGGUUGGAUCACCUCCUUACCUGAAAGAA